AUUGAACGCUGGCGGCAGGCCUAACACAUGCAAGUCGAGCGAGCGGCGGACGGGCGAGUAAUGUAUGGGGACUGCCCGAUCGAGGGGGAUAACUACUGGAAACGGUGGCUACUACCGCAUACUAUCGGAUAACCCAUAGGGGAGUAGCUAGUAGGUGGGUGAAAGGCUCACCUAGGCGACGAUCUCUAGCUGGCCUGAGAGGCUGAUCAGCCACACUGGGACUGAGACACGGCCCAGACUCCUACGGAGGCAGCAGUGGGGAAUAUUGGGCAAUGGGCGAAAGCCUGAUGGAGCCAUGCCGCGUGUGUGAAGAAGGCCUUAGGGUUGUAAAGUACUUUCGGCGGGGAGGCGGUACCCGCAGAGGAAGCACCGGCUAACUCCGUGCCAGCAGCCGCGGUAAUAC
rnacentral:rRNA from 1 species